rnacentral:rRNA from 1 species
UACGUAGGGUGCAAGCGUUGUCCGGAAUUAUUGGGCGUAAAGAGCUCGUAGGCGGUUUGUCGCGUCUGCUGUGAAAAUCCAGGGCUUAACCCUGGACCUGCAGUGGGUACGGGCAGACUGGAGUGCGGGUAGGGAGAUCGGAAUUCCUGGUGUAGCGGUGAAAUGCGUAGAUAUCAGGAGGAACACCUGCGGUGUAGACGGCUUUCUGGACCAUUGCUGACGCUGAGACACGAAAGCGUGGGUAGCAAACAGG